rnacentral:rRNA from 1 species
CCCUUUGAUUACUUGAGACUUCGGUUGAUUGUUUUUCUUUUUGGGAUAGUGGCAAACGGGUGAGUAACAUGUGGAUUAUCUGCCCUGAAGACGGGAAUAGCUCAUCGAAAGAUGGGGUAAUACUCGAUAGCCUUACAUUCUUUUAGUUUGUAAGUAAAGCUUUUGCGCUUCAGGAGGAGUCCGCAUCCUAUCAGCUUGUUGGUGAGGUAAUGGCUCACCAAGGCUAAGACGGGUAGCUGGCGUGAGAGCGCGGUCAGCCACCAUGGGAACUGAGACACGGUCCAUACUCCUACGGGAGGCAGCAAUUAGGAAUCUUGCGCAAUGGGGGCAACCCUGACGCAGCGACACAGUGUGGAGGAGGAAGGUCUUCGGAUUGUAAACUCCUUUUAUGAGGGAAGAAUAGAUGACGGUACCUCAUGAAUAAGCACCUGCUAACUACGUGCCAGAAGCAUCGGUGAUGCGUAGGGUGCGAACGUUAUCCGGAUUUAUUGGGCGUAUAGAGAAGCGUAGGUGUUUUUGUAAGUCUUUAGUUAAAUACCACGGCUCAACCGUGGAGAAGCUUUGGAAACUACAAAAAUUGAGACAGGAAUGGGCGAAUGGAAUUCCCAGUGGAGCGGUGAAAUGCGUUGAUAUUGGGAGGAACAUCGGUGGCGAAGGCGAUUCGCUGGUCCUUGUCUG